AUUGAACGCUGGCGGCAGGCCUAACACAUGCAAGUCGAGCGGAUGAAGGGAGCUUGCUCCUGGAUUCAGCGGCGGACGGGUGAGUAAUGCCUAGGAAUCUGCCUGGUAGUGGGGGAUAACGUCCGGAAACGGGCGCUAAUACCGCAUACGUCCUGAGGGAGAAAGUGGGGGAUCUUCGGACCUCACGCUAUCAGAUGAGCCUAGGUCGGAUUAGCUAGUUGGUGGGGUAAAGGCCUACCAAGGCGACGAUCCGUAACUGGUCUGAGAGGAUGAUCAGUCACACUGGAACUGAGACACGGUCCAGACUCCUACGGGAGGCAGCAGUGGGGAAUAUUGGACAAUGGGCGAAAGCCUGAUCCAGCCAAGCCGCGUGUGUGAAGAAGGUCUUCGGAUUGUAAAGCACUUUAAGUUGGGAGGAAGGGCAGUAAGUUAAUACCUGGCUGUUUUGACGUUACCAACAGAAUAAGAACAGGCUAACUUCGUG
rnacentral:rRNA from 1 species